GGUGAUUUUUCUGGUUUGGCUUUUUUGUUGUUCCAUCUGUUGAAAUGUGCACAGUUUUCUGGUUCAUUUGAGUUCCUUUUCCUUUUCUUUUUCGCAUGUCUGCUGAUUUGCUCCAGGUGUGUCAUUUGCCAAACACCUGAGGCUCAUUUUCCUCAUCAGUUCACUUUUUUAUUUAAGCUGGGUGUCUCCCCCCUGUCUUUAUUUAGUACUUCAUUUGUCUCUUUCAUAAAAGCCCAAAAAAAUAUUAAAGCAACAUUUGAUGUUCUUUUGGAUGAGUAAUUUGGGGAAAUAAAUGAUCAAGCUGUCAGAACACCUGCGUUUGAAUCCUCCUUCAGCUCAGCCUGUGAUCUUCUCAUCUGAGUUAUUGUUGAAAUGUCCAUUCAUGAGUAGAGUCACGGUAAUUGUUGGACCCCAUCCCAGCUCUCAAAGGAGCAUGGUGGGGUGGAAACCCUGGGCAGGAUGCCAGUCCAUCACGGGGCUGCAGACCAACACUUAUGCUCACUUCCGAGGGCCAGUUUGGAGUCAACACUCAAUCUUAGAAAGCAAGAAGAUAGGGAAGUUUUGGUGCAGACUCAUCAGAAUGCAAAGUCUUCUGACAGCAAGUCAGGAGCUAAGGUGGAGCUUGGCUGAACUCCCUGGGAGAAAGCAAGAGGUCAGGACAAAAAAGACAGCUUUGCAUCUGAGACAGUGGGGAAUUCAUGGAUGACCACAAACUUCCACACCAAAGCCUCCAUCCUGCUACGGUGAUGGGCUUGAGCUGGUCAGAUGUGAAGAGAAUAACAGCUGUGUGGUAUCUGCGCCUGAUGUCAGGAGCGGGCCUUGAAACAGGAGUGGGCUGACUCAGUCACUGACGCCGCCGACGCUGACAUCCAAACAAAGAGACAGCGGAAAUAAGCCAUGGCAUGGAAUCAACAAACAGCUGUCAACGAUCCCUGCGUUACACUGAUGGGCUCCACGCAGCUUAAACGGGAAAGGACAGAUGGACACGCUCCAUUUGGGUGACAGACUGCACAGCCCUGGGAAAGGUGUGGGGACGGACAGCUUCUUUACAGAGGAAAUCUGUUUGACACUUUUAAGUCUUGAUGCUAAAACACAUUAGGCAGAUGGGGGGGGAGGAAUUGUAGCCCUGCCAUUAGUUAAAAAUAUCAAAAAAAAUAAUGUGUAGACUCCAGAGAUUUCAAUUGGAUUGGUGAAUGCAUUUUACUUUGUCAUAAGAAAAGCGUCAAUCAUGAUUUAAACUCAUCAGGAUCUUUGGUUUCAACACACGACGAGUAAUUGAAUGUCACUGUUGGUUUAGAAAUUGCAAAAUUUGAUUCUCAGUAUUCUUUGCUCAUUUAAUAAAAAUAUAAUCAAAACAAAUGUUGUUUAUCGUUGAAGAAGCUAUUCCCUGAUAAUGCUGCCACAGUUAUUGCAGGCUGUCUUGGCUGCAAAAACAAAAUGUUAUUUUAUACCCCCUGCACUCAUCAUCGCUUACAAUUUAUUUACUUGACAUUGAGGAGUCCUACUCGUUUCGUCUGUUAAGUCUUGAUCAAAUCUAAUCUCGGUUUUCAUAUGAGAAAGAAUUCAGGUAUCCUUGAACACACUUUACUACUUGUGUGUGUCACCAAAACUUUAAAAACAGAACUACAUGUGUUACGGUGUCCUAGCUCUAUAUCUUCCCUUAGAACAGAGAUCAGCAACCUUUAGCACUUAGAAGCGCAUUUGGGUCAAUUCAACACUGACUACAACCCAGCAAGAGUCACAAAGUCUGACUUCACCCUUUUGAAAAACAAAAAAACAUAGAUUUGUAUCUAUGUUAUGGUUUCUUUUAUGAUAAAUAUAUAUUAAAAAACUGUUUUUGGUAUAAAUAAAAUAUAAUCAUAAAGAUAAAAUAGUUUUUUUUUUUAAACUAUGAAAAUGUUUAAAUAGUAUAUUCACAAUACUUCCUUUCAAAAUGCAUCUCAAUGCAGCAGCUGUGGUGUUAAUCAUUUAAUCACUGGAUGCGUAAAGCAAACAUGUUUUUAUUUUGCUAAUAUUGUUCUUGCAUUUUACUGAUAUAUUUAUUUUUUUGUAAUCUUGUUAACACACUGUAAAGCGCUUUAAACUGCAAUGCAUGAAAAGUGUUUUUUAAAAAUAAAUAAAGCUUGAUUGAUUGCUUGUUAUCGCACUGAUAUGGUUACUGCUUUUAAUCUCGUUGUGCAUGCUGACAGU